rnacentral:lncRNA from 1 species
AUCAAACUAAGGUAGUAGGACUAUGUCAUGUCAGGACAGUGUGGGAAAUCAAGCAAAAGACAUUGGUUGAUAUGGCUGUUAGCCGGAGUUGCUACAUAGACCAGAGUCAAAGUCUGAAUAUUCACAUGGAGCAACCUGAUCUUGGGAAACUAACUUCAUUGCAUUUCUAUGCUUGGUCGAAGGUAUCAUUUCAUUUGUUUAUGAUGUUUCCAGAAGCAACCUGAUCUUGGGAAACUAACUUCAUUGCAUUUCUAUGCUUGGUCGAAGGUAUCAUUUCAUUUGUUUAUGAUGUUUCCAGAAGCAAAACCACUAUUUCGAAGGUAUCAUUUCAUUUGUUUAUGAUGUUUCCAGAAGCAAAACCACUAUUUAUUCAUUGUACGAUACAGUUUCUGCUUUCUGAUGUUUCCAUAAGCAAAAUCACUAUAU